AUCGAACGCUGGCGGCAGGCCUAACACAUGCAAGUCGAGCGAGAGGAGGACGGGCGAGCAAUGUAUGGAGACGUGCCCGACAGAGGGGGAUGACUACGGGAAACGGUGGCUAAUACCGCAUACGACUGGAUGAGCCCAUAGGGGAUUAGCUAGUCGGUGGGGUAAAGGCUCACCAAGGCGACGAUCCCUAGCUGGUCUGAGAGGGUGAUCGGCCACACUGGGACUGAGACACGGCCCAGACUCCUACGGGAGGCAGCAGUGGGGAAUCUUCGACAAUGGGCGAAAGGCUGAUCGAGCCACGCCGCGUGUGUGAAGAAGGCUUUCGGGUUGUAAAGUUCUUUCUUUGGAGAAGCGUUACCCGACCAGAAAGCACCGGCUAACUCCGUGCCAGCAGCCGCGGUAAUAC
rnacentral:rRNA from 1 species